rnacentral:rRNA from 1 species
AGAUUGAACGCUGGCGGCAUGCCUUACACAUGCAGGUCGAACGGCAGCACGGGAGCAAUCCUGGUGGCGAGUGGCGAACGGGUGAGUAAUACAUCGGGACGUGCCCAAUCGUGGGGGAUAACGCAGCGAAAGCUGUGCUAAUACCGCAUAAGAUCUACGGAUGAAAGCAGGGGAUCGCAAGACCUUGCGCGAAUGGAGCGGCCGAUGGCAGAUUAGGUAGUUGGUGAGGUAAAGGCUCACCAAGCCUUCGAUCUGUAGCUGGUCUGAGAGGACGACCAGCCACACUGGGACUGAGACACGGCCCAGACUCCUACGGGAGCAGCAGUGGGAAUUUCGGACAAUGGGCGAAAGCCUGAUCCAGCCAUGCCGCGUGCAGGAUGAAGGCCUUCGGUUGUAAACUGUCGUUUUAGUACGGAACGAAAGGUCUAGACCCUAAGUACGGCGACCC